CCAGCGGUCUGUCCCAGUGCCAGUACACUUUCUGCUCUCCCAGCCGGGCACCUUCGGGCUUAGGGAUCCCUUGGAGGGAAGCCCGCCGGGAAGCUGAAGACAGUGGUCACCGCCCUCGGUCAUUACUUCCCGGGACCCGGACCCUAACCCUGCGCCACAUCUCCACCCGCCCCCAGCCGUGUCCUGGCUGCGCAGCUGGAAAGGUUGAGCAGCUCACUGCUGUCCCUCUGUUCGGCCUUGGACACAUCGCCUGAACUCCUGGGCGCCUCUGCUGCCUCAGUUUCCCCAUCUGUGCUGUGAGGAGUGGAAGGAACGGGAUGACUAGGAGCCUUUUAAGACCGAGUAUUCGAGGUUCUUUCCGGCCCCGCGGAGCCAGGAGGUGCCAGCCGAGAUGCGCGUGCCGCGCGCGCCCUCCAGUGCCCGGUUCCCGCUUCUGCACGGUCCUCGCUGGGCAAGGGCGUCCCAAGAAAGGAGGAAAGGAAGAACUCCAUACAUUGUCAUUAUUGUGAACUGAUGAACAAAAGAGUCAAUAGGGAAGGGAAUGGGUAAAUAAACCUCAGAAUGAAGAAAUAAUA
rnacentral:lncRNA from 10 species